rnacentral:rRNA from 1 species
UACGGGGGGGGGCAAGCGUUGUUCGGAAUUACUGGGCGUAAAGGGCUCGUAGGUGGCCAACUAAGUCAGACGUGAAAUCCCUCAGCUUAACUGGGGAACUGCGUCUGAUACUGGAUGGCUUGAGUUUGGGAGAGGGAUGCGGAAUUCCAGGUGUAGCGGUGAAAUGCGUAGAUAUCAGGAGGAACACCGGUGGCGAAGGCGGGUCUCUGGGCCGAUACUGACGCUGAGGAGCGAAAGCGUGGGGAGCGAACAGG